AUUGAACGCUGGCGGCAUGCCUUACACAUGCAAGUCGAACGGUAACAGGUCUUCGGAUGCUGACGAGUGGCGAACGGGUGAGUAAUACAUCGGAACGUGCCCAGUCGUGGGGGAUAACGCAGCGAAAGCUGUGCUAAUACCGCAUACGAUCUACGGAUGAAAGCGGGGGAUCGCAAGACCUCGCGCGAUUGGAGCGGCCGAUGGCAGAUUAGGUAGUUGGUGAGGUAAAGGCUCACCAAGCCUGCGAUCUGUAGCUGGUCUGAGAGGACGACCAGCCACACUGGAACUGAGACACGGUCCAGACUCCUACGGGAGGCAGCAGUGGGGAAUUUUGGACAAUGGGCGCAAGCCUGAUCCAGCAAUGCCGUGUGCAGGAUGAAGGCCUUCGGGUUGUGAACUGCUUUUGUACGGAACGAAAAAGCUUCUUCUAAUACAGGAGGCUCAUGACGGUACCGUAAGAAUAAGCACCGGCUAACUACGUGCCAGCCGCCGCAGUAA
rnacentral:rRNA from 1 species